GUUGUGUGUUGUUAGAAUGUUCAAAUGUCUUCACAAAUGGCUACUGCAGCUGCUUGAGGGGAGUCCUCACCAGGCUGGAUGGUGCAAGGAAUUCGUGGCAGUGAAAGAAAUCUGUGGUGGGAGAUGACUGCAGGUAGUAUGUUAAAAGUGGCCAAGUUGGAUGCUGCAUGUACCACUAUGAGAAAAGUUAAGUAUUCUCAACACAAGUUCUUUGUUUCACCAAGUUGAAGUAUUUGGCUGUUUCAUGCAAGCAAAUCAUAAUAAUACUACAUCCCAUUUUAUUGAAAAUCUGACAAGGUCAUAGAAUAAUAGUAAUAAUAUAAUGGCAUUACAUAUGUGUUAUAAAAGAUAAAAUAGAAUAAAUUUUUGGGGUAUUGUCAUGAAGGUGAAGGUGAAGGUGGUAAAUGGCUUACUAAAGCUCAUACAGUAUUGGAAUACCUACACCUUAAGCUAAUAAAUUGUACUUACACAUGUUUUAUUCACAUUACUUAUUCUAACAAAACCCUUUUUAUGUGAGGGAUAGUGUCAAUACUUCAUAAAGAAUCUUGAUAGAGUAUGCGACAUGUCUUGUGUGUGUAUCUUGAUGUAAUUGAAGCCAAGAUCAUUAUUUUAUAACCCGCCUGUGCAAUGUUCCACUGCUGGGCAUAGGUCUUCCAUGGGAGACAUUAAAUCUAUCCUGAUCAAAUAAUAUGUUUAUAAAUUAUUAGAAAAUAUUGAGUGAGCCAAGGAUAGUUGAACUAUAAUUUCAAAAGUUGAAUCCAAAUAUGAUUUGUUAUGACACAGUUAUUGCCCUGAGUUAUGGUUGCAGAAUGUACUUCCUGAGCCGCGGUGCGAGUCUGUGCGCCUGCAUGACGGUGCGGGUCUGCCUGCCUGAGCGGCGGUGCGAGUCUGCGCGCCGACCGAUGGUGCGAGUCUGCACACCUGAGCGGCGGUGCGAGACUGAGGCAGCCGUGUGAUAGCGGGACUAAGUCCCAUCUAUAUGCUCAAAGAGCCACCGAUACAAAUGUACACCGAUACAAACCUAUAUAACAAAAAAAAAACUAACAAAAAAAAAAUACAAAUAUAUAAAUACACAAAAAAAAAGGGAGGCUUAGCAAGCCUAUGAGACGUAUCAGCUUGGCGAGCCAUGAUACGAAUGCUUAGCGAGCCUGUGAGACGUAUCAGCUUAACGAGCCCAUGAUACGAAUGCUUAGCGAGCCUGUGAGACGUAUCAGCUUAACGAGCCCAUGAUACGAAUGCUUAGCGAGCCUGUGAGACGUAUCAGCUUAACGAGCCCAUGAUACGAAUGCUUAGCGAGCCUGUGAGACGUAUCAGCUUAACGAGCCCAUGAUACGAAUGCUUAGCGAGACUGUGAGACGUAUCAGCUUAACGAGCCCAUGAUACGAAUGCUUAGCGAGCCUGUGAGACGUGUCAGCUUAGCGAGCCAUGAUACGAAUGCUUAGCGAGCCUGUGAGACGUAUCAGCUUAGCCAGCCCAUGAUACGAAUGCAUAAAGAGCCUAUGUUACAAAAAUUCUUAAAGAGCCUAUGUUACAAAAAUUCUUAAAGAGCCUAUUACAAUUCUGCUUAGAGAGCCCAUUAUACAAGUAAGCUUAAAGAGCCCGUGUAACGUAUCAGCUUAAAGAGCCUAUGAUACUAAUGCUUAGAGAGCCCAUUAUACAAGUAAGCUUAAAGAGCCCGUGUAAUGUAUCAGCUUAAAGAGCCUAUGAUACAAAUGCUUGGAGAGCCCAUUAUACAAGUAAGCUUAAAGAGCCCGUGUAAUGUAUCAGCUUAAAGAGCCUAUGAUACAAAUGCUUAGAGAGCCCAUUAUACAAGUAAGCUUAAAGAGCCCGUGUAAUGUAUCAGCUUAAAGAGCCUAUGAUACAAAUGCUUAGAGAGCCCAUUAUACAAGUACGCUUAAAGAGCCUAUGAUGCAAAUGCUUAAAGAGCCCAUGUUACAAAUCUGCUUAAAGAGCCCAUGUUACAAAUCUGCUUAAA